UACAGAGGUCUCAAGCGUUGUUCGGAUUCAUUGGGCGUAAAGGGCGCGUAGGCGGCGGGGUAAGUCGGGUGUGAAAUCUCAGAGCUCAACUCUGAAAUGGCACUUGAUACUGCUCUGCUAGAGGAGUGGAGAGGAGAUUGGAAUUCACGGUGUAGCAGUGAAAUGCGUAGAUAUCGUAAGGAAGACCAGUGGCGAAGGCGGGUCUCUGGACAGUUCCUGACACUGAGACACGAAGGCCAGGGGAGCAAACGGG
rnacentral:rRNA from 1 species